rnacentral:rRNA from 1 species
AUUGAACGCUGGCGGCAUGCCUUACACAUGCAAGUCGAACGGUAACAGGUCUUCGGAUGCUGACGAGUGGCGAACGGGUGAGUAAUACAUCGGAACGUGCCCGAGAGUGGGGGAUAACGAGGCGAAAGCUUUGCUAAUACCGCAUACGAUCUCAGGAUGAAAGCAGGGGACCGCAAGGCCUUGCGCUCACGGAGCGGCCGAUGGCAGAAUAGGUAGUUGGUGGGAUAAAGGCUUACCAAGCCGACGAUCUGUAGCUGGUCUGAAAGGACGACCAGCCACACUGGGACUGAGACACGGCCCAGACUCCUACGGGAGGCAGCAGUGGGGAAUUUUGGACAAUGGGCGCAAGCCUGGUCCAGCCAUGCCGCGUGCAGGAUGAAGGCCUUCGGGUUGUAAACUGCUUUUGUACGGAACGAAAAGACUCUGGUUAAUACCUGGGGUCCAUGACGGUACCGUAAGAAUAAGCACCGGCUAACUACGUGCCAGCCGCCGCGGUAAUAC